rnacentral:rRNA from 1 species
UACGGAGGGUGCAAGCGUUAUCCGGAUUCACUGGGUUUAAAGGGUGCGUAGGCGGGCAGGUAAGUCCGUGGUGAAAUCUCUGAGCUUAACUCAGAAACUGCCAUGGAUACUAUUUGUCUUGAAUAUUGUGGAGGUGAGCGGAAUAUGUCAUGUAGCGGUGAAAUGCUUAGAUAUGACAUAGAACACCAAUUGCGAAGGCAGCUCACUACACAGUUAUUGACGCUGAGGCACGAAAGCGUGGGGAUCGAACAGG